rnacentral:rRNA from 1 species
AAUAUUGCACAAUGGAGGAAACUCUGAUGCAGCGACGCCGCGUGAGUGAUGAAGGCCUUCGGGUCGUAAAACUCUGUCCUAGGGGACGAUAAUGACGGUACCCUAGGAGGAAGCCCCGGCUAACUACGUGCCAGCAGCCGCGGUAAUACGUAGGGGGCAAGCGUUGUCCGGAUUUAUUGGGCGUAAAGGGUUCGCAGGUGGUCCUUUAAGUCAGAUGUGAAAGAUCACAGCUUAACUGUGGUAAGCAUUUGAAACUGGAGGACUUGAGUUAAGGAGAGGAAAGUGGAAUUCCUAGUGUAGCGGUGAAAUGCGUAGAUAUUAGGAGGAAUACCAGUGGCGAAGGCGACUUUCUGGACUUAUACUGACACUGAGGAACGAAAGCGUGGGGAGCAAAC